CAGGUGUGUGGACAGGCUGGAGAUAAAUUCUGCAGGAUGCUGGUCCUCCAGGACACCACUGUUUUUGUGUCAGAUGCAGAUAAAGAGUCACCAGGAACAGGUCACUGCUUCUUUUGUCAUGUAGAUGCUGGAACAAAAAGCAGCCAGGCCACAGCAUCUAAAAUGGAGACUUCUAUUAAAGUGGCUCUGUAACGUAAGAGACUUGGGACAGUGGAAGGAGCAGAAGAACCAAAAGAUCAGAAAUCAGGCAGAGCUCUACUGGUGCCCCUUAGGGGACUGAUUUAUCUAUA